rnacentral:rRNA from 11 species
CAGAAGUGCGAAUGCUGACAUGAGUAACGACAAUGCGAGUGAAAAACUCGCACGCUGAAAGACCAAGGGUUCCAGUCCAACGUUAAUCGGGGCUGGGUGAGUCGACCCCUAAGGCGAGGCCGAAAGGCGUAGUCGAUGGGAAACAGGUUAAUAUUCCUGUACUUGAUUCAAAUGCGAUGUGGGGACGGAGAAGGUUAGCUCAGCCGGGUGUUGGAUGUCCCGGUUCAAGCCUGUAGUCGUGCCUGGUAGGCAAAUCCGCCGGGCUUAGAUGAGGGGUGAUAACGAGGAGGCUUGCCUCCGAAGUGAGUGAUACCCUGCUUCCAGGAAAAGCCACUAAGCUUCAGUUUGAAUUGAACCGUACCGCAAACCGACACAGGUGGGCAGGAUGAGAAUUCUAAGGCGCUUGAGAGAACUCGGGAGAAGGAACUCGGCAAAUUGACACCGUAACUUCGGAAGAAGGUGUGCCUUGG